rnacentral:rRNA from 1 species
UACGGGGGGAGCAAGCGUUGUUCGGAAUCACUGGGCGUAAAGGGUGUGUAGGCGGUCAGGUAAGUGGGAUGUGAAAUGCCCCGGCUCACCCGGGGACCGGCAUCCCAUACUGCUUGGCUUGAGUACGGGAGAGGAUGUGGGAAUUCCUGGUGUAGCGGUGAAAUGCGUAGAUAUCAGGAGGAACACCGGUGGCGAAGGCGCACAUCUGGCCCGAUACUGACGCUGAGGCGCGAAAGCUAGGGGAGCAAACAGG